rnacentral:misc_RNA from 1 species
GAUGAAGAACGCAGCGAAAUGCGAUAAGUAUGUGAAUUGCAGAAUUCAGUGAAUCAUCGAAUCUUUGAACGCACAUUGCGCCCGCCAGUAUUCUGGCGGGCAUGCCUGUUCGAGCGUCAUUUCAACCAUCAAGCCCCAGGCUUGUGUUGGGGACCUGCGGCUGCCGCAGGCCCUGAAAACCAGUGGCGGGCUCGCUGUCACACCGGGCGUAGUAGAUUUUAUCUCGCUCAGGGCGUGCUGCGGGUUCCGGCCGUUAAAAAGCCUUUUUUACCCAAGGUUGACCUCGGAUCAGGUAGGAAGACCCGCUGAACUUAAGCAUAUCAAUAAGCGGAGGA